rnacentral:rRNA from 1 species
GACGAACGCUGGCGGCGUGCUUAACACAUGCAAGUCGAACGGAAAGGCCCUGCUUUCGUGGGGUGCUCGAGUGGCGAACGGGUGAGUAACACGUGAGUAACCUGCCCUUGACUUUGGGAUAACUUCAGGAAACUGGGGCUAAUACCUGAUAGGAGCUCCUGCUGCAUGGUGGGGGUUGGAAAGUUUCGGCGGUUGGGGAUGGACGCGCGGCUUAUCAGCUUGUUGGUGGGGUAGUGGCUUACCAAGGCUUUGACGGGUAGCCGGCCUGAGAGGGGGACCGGCCACAUUGGGACUGAGAUACGGCCCAGACUCCUACGGGAGGCAGCAGUGGGGAAUAUUGCACAAUGGGCGGAAGCCUGAUGCAGCAACGCCGCGUGCGGGAUGACGGCCUUCGGGUUGUAAACCGCAUUCGCCUGUGACGAAGCGUGAGUGACGGUAAUGGGUGAAGAAGCACCGGCUAACUACGUG